rnacentral:rRNA from 1 species
GGCGAAGAACCGCCCCUAUCGAACCGGGGACACUAACCACCCGAACCGGGCCAUGCGGUGACCAUUGGUCGCCGCCGGCACCGGGGAGCGUGGGACCUGAACCGGGGAGGUAAGCGUAUUAACAGGUGUGACGCAGGAAGGUAGCCGAGCCGGGCGAUGGUAGACCCGGUCUAAGCGUGUAGGGCGAUCCGUUGGCAAAUCCGCGGAUCAUGAGCCUGAGACGUGACGGGACCCCCAUUCGUGGGGGGAUUCGGUGAUCCUAUGCUGCCGAGAAAAGCAUCGACGCGAGGUUCCAGCCGCCCGUACCCCAAACCGACACAGGUGAUCAGGUAGAGAAUACUAAGGCGAUCGAGAGAAUCAUGGUUAAGGAACUCGGCAAAAUGCCCCCGUAACUUCGGGAGAAGGGGGGCCCCGACCGUGGACACCACUUGCUGGUGCGAGCGGGUAAGGGCCGCAGAGACCAGGGGGAAGCGACUGUUUAUCAAAAACACAGGUCCGUGCGAAGUCGCAAGACGAUGUAUACGGACUGACUCCUGCCCGGUGCUGGAAGGUUAAGAGGACCUGUUAGCCUCACGGCGAAGCGGAGAAUUUAAGCCCCAGUAAACGGCGGUGGU